AGACCCGAAACCCGGUGAUCUAGCCAUGGGCAGGUUGAAGGUUGGGUAACACUAACUGGAGGACCGAACCGACUAAUGUUGAAAAAUUAGCGGAUGACCUGUGGCUGGGGGUGAAAGGCCAAUCAAACCGGGAGAUAGCUGGUUCUCCCCGAAAGCUAUUUAGGUAGCGCCUCGUGAAUUCAUCUCCGGGGGUAGAGCACUGUUUCGGCUAGGGGGCCAUCCCGGCUUACCAACCCGAUGCAAACUGCGAAUACCGGAGAAUGUUAUCACGGGAGACACACGGCGGGUGCUAACGUCCGUCGUGAAGAGGGAAACAACCCAGACCGCCAGCUAAGGUCCCAAAGUCAUGGUUAAGUGGGAAACGAUGUGGGAAGGCCCAGACAGCCAGGAUGUUGGCUUAGAAGCAGCCAUCAUUUAAAGAAAGCGUAAUAGCUCACUGGUCGAGUCGGCCUGCGCGGAAGAUGUAACGGGGCUAAACCAUGCACCGAAGCUGCGGCAGCGAACGUAUCACCCAAGACAACUUUACGGAGUUGACGAUUGACGGAGCGAAGCGACGUCAAAGCGUUCAUUAAAGUCGAGUUGGCUUAGGGAUACGUUCGUUGGGUAGGGGAGCGUUCUGUAAGCCUGUGAAGGUGUGUCGUGAGGCAUGCUGGAGGUAUCAGAAGUGCGAAUGCUGACAUAAGUAACGAUAAAGCGGGUGAAAAGCCCGCUCGCCGGAAGACCAAGGGUUCCUGUCCAACGUUAAUCGGGGCAGGGUGAGUCGACCCCUAAGGCGAGGCCGAAAGGCGUAGUCGAUGGGAAACGGGUUAAUAUUCCCGUACUUGGUGUUACUGCGAAGGGGGGACGGAGAAGGCUAUGUUGGCCGGGCGACGGUUGUCCCGGUUUAAGCGUGUAGGUGUGUGUUCCAGGUAAAUCCGGUUCACUUUAACACUGAGGCGUGAUGACGAGGCACUACGGUGCUGAAGCAACAA
rnacentral:rRNA from 1 species